GAUGAACGCUGGCGGCGUGCUUAACACAUGCAAGUCGAACGGAAAGGCCCAAGCUUGCUUGGGUACUCGAGUGGCGAACGGGUGAGUAACACGUGGGUGAUCUGCCCUGCACUUCGGGAUAAGCCUGGGAAACUGGGUCUAAUACCGGAUAGGACCACUUCUUGGAUGUUGUGGUGGAAAGUUUUUUCGGUGUGGGAUGAGCUCGCGGCCUAUCAGCUUGUUGGUGGGGUAAUGGCCUACCAAGGCGUCGACGGGUAGCCGGCCUGAGAGGGUGUACGGCCACAUUGGGACUGAGAUACGGCCCAGACUCCUACGGGAGGCAGCAGUGGGGAAUAUUGCACAAUGGGCGCAAGCCUGAUGCAGCGACGCCGCGUGGGGGAUGACGGCCUUCGGGUUGUAAACUCCUUUCGCUAGGGACGAAGCGUUUUGUGACGGUACCUGGAGAAGAAGCAUCGGCUAACUACGUG
rnacentral:rRNA from 1 species